rnacentral:rRNA from 1 species
UGGGGAAUAUUGCACAAUGGGCGCAAGCCUGAUGCAGCCAUGCCGCGUGUAUGAAGAAGGCCUUCGGGUUGUAAAGUACUUUCAGCGGGGAGGAAGGCGAUAAGGUUAAUAACCUUGUCGAUUGACGUUACCCGCAGAAGAAGCACCGGCUAACUCCGUGCCAGCAGCCGCGGUAAUACGGAGGGUGCAAGCGUUAAUCGGAAUUACUGGGCGUAAAGCGCACGCAGGCGGUCUGUCGAGUCGGAUGUGAAAUCCCCGGGCUCAACCUGGGAACUGCAUUCGAAACUGGCAGGCUAGAGUCUUGUAGAGGGGGGUAGAAUUCCAGGUGUAGCGGUGAAAUGCGUAGAGAUCUGGAGGAAUACCGGUGGCGAAGGCGGCCCCCUGGACAAAGACUGACGCUCAGGUGCGAAAGCGUGGGGAGCAAACA